CCCGGUGGCCAUAGCGGCCGGGAACCACCUGAUCCCAUCCCGAACUCAGAAGUGAAACCAGCCUGCGCCGAUGGUACUUUGUCUUAAGGCACGGGAGAGUAGGUCACCGCCGGGCCUUCCAAAUACAGCAAC
rnacentral:rRNA from 1 species